GACGAAGGAUGCAAGCGUUAUCCGGAUUCAUUGGGUUUAAAGGGCGCGUAGGCGGCCACCGCAAGUCGACUGUGAAAUCUCCGGGCUUAACCCGGAAAGGUCAGCCGAUACUGCGGGGCUAGAGUGCAGAAGGGGCAACUGGAAUUCUCGGUGUAGCGGUGAAAUGCGUAGAUAUCGAGAGGAACACCUGCGGCGAAGGCGGGUUGCUGGGCUGACACUGACGCUGAGGCGCGAAAGCUAGGGGAGCGAACGGG
rnacentral:rRNA from 1 species